rnacentral:rRNA from 1 species
UCCGUAGGUGGCAAGCGUUGUCCGGAAUUAUUGGGCGUAAAGCGCGCGCAGGUGGUUCUUUAAGUCUGAUGUGAAAGCCCACGGCUCAACCGUGGAGGGUCAUUGGAAACUGGGGAACUUGAGUGCAGAAGAGGAAAGUGGAAUUCCACGUGUAGCGGUGAAAUGCGUAGAGAUGUGGAGGAACACCAGUGGCGAAGGCGACUUUCUGGUCUGUAACUGACACUGAGGCGCGAAAGCGUGGGGAGCGAACAGG